UACGAAGGGGGCUAGCGUUGCUCGGAAUCACUGGGCGUAAAGGGUGCGUAGGCGGGUUUUUAAGUCAGGGGUGAAAUCCUGGAGCUCAACUCCAGAACUGCCUUUGAUACUGAGGAUCUUGAGUUCGGGAGAGGUGAGUGGAACUGCGAGUGUAGAGGUGAAAUUCGUAGAUAUUCGCAAGAACACCAGUGGCGAAGGCGGCUCACUGGCCAGAUACUGACGCUGAGGCACGAAAGCGUGGGGAGCAAACAGG
rnacentral:rRNA from 1 species